AAAAAAGUACAUUUCAAAUGUUAUGAGAGGCACUCAUGCCAGCGUCCUCUGAUGGUGGAUGUGUACCUUAUAGCACUACAUCCAGGGUCUGUCAUCUGUCUACUCAGACCAUUCGGUGAGUGGUCCAGCCUGCACAUAAAUUUAAAUGUCAAGUUCCUCAGCAGAGCAAUAAAUGUAGUGAGACCCAGAUCACAGAAGAGCCCACUGGCUCUUGUGCUCCUCGGCUUGCCCAACAGUAUCCUAAGGCAACUUUUAGCUUACGCAAACUUU